UGGGGAAUAUUGCACAAUGGACGGAAGUUUGAUGCAGCGACGCCGCGUGGAGGGUGUAGGCCUUCGGGUUGUGAACUCCUUUUUCUCGCGAAAAAGGCACAGUUUUGGCUGUGUUGAUGGUAGUGGGGGAAGAAGCGCCGGCUAACUACGUGCCAGCAGCCGCGGUAAUACGUAGGGCGCGAGCGUUGUCCGGAUUUGUUGGGCGUAAAGAGCUCGUAGGUGGUUCGUCGCGUCUGUCGUGAAAGCCAGCAGCUUAACUGUUGGUCUGCGGUGGGUACGGGCGGGCUUGAGUGCGGUAGGGGUGACUAGAAUACCUGGUGUAGCGGUGGAAUGCGCAGAUAUCAGGAGGAACACCGAUGGCGAAGGCAGGUCACUGGGCCGUUACUGACACUGAGGAGCGAAAGCGUGGGGAGCGAACAGG
rnacentral:rRNA from 1 species